rnacentral:rRNA from 1 species
AUGAACGCUGGCGGCGUGCCUAAUACAUGCCAGUCGAGCGAACGGACGAGAAGCUUGCUUCUCUGAUGUUAGCGGCGGACGGGUGAGUAACACGUGGAUAACCUGCCUAUAAGACUGGGAUAACUUCGGGAAACCGGAGCUAAUACCGGAUAAUAUUUUGAACCGCAUGGUUCAAAAGUGAAAGACGGUCUUGCUGUCACUUAUAGAUGGAUCCGCGCUGCAUUAGCUAGUUGGUAAGGUAACGUCUUACCAAGGCAACGAUGCAUAGCCGACCUGAGAGGGUGAUCGGCCACACUGGAACUGAGACACGGUCCAGACUCCUACGGGAGGCAGCAGUAGGGAAUCUUCCGCAAUGGGCGAAAGCCUGACGGAGCAACGCCGCGUGAGUGAUGAAGGUCUUCGGAUCGUAAAACUCUGUUAUUAGGGAAGAACAUAUGUGUAAGUAACUGUGCACAUCUUGACGGUACCUAAUCAGAAAGCCACGGCUAACUACGUG